AACGAACGCUGGCGGCAGGCUUAACACAUGCAAGUCGAACGCUCGUAGCAAUACGGGAGUGGCGGACGGGUGAGUAACGCGUGGGAACGUGCCCUGAGGUACGGAAUAACUGAGGGAAACUUCAGCUAAUACCGUAUGAGCCCCGAGAGGGGGAAAGAUUUAUCGCCUUGGGAGCGGCCCGCGUCGGAUUAGCUAGUUGGUGGGGUAACGGCCUACCAAGGCUUCGAUCCGUAGCUGGUCUGAGAGGACGAUCAGCCACACUGGGACUGAGACACGGCCCAGACUCCUACGGGAGGCAGCAGUGGGGAAUCUUGCGCAAUGGGGGCAACCUGACGCAGCCAUGCCGCGUGAACGAUGAAGGCCUUAGGGUUGUAAAGUUCUUUUACCGUGACGAUGAUGACGGUAACGGGGAAUAAGACUCCGGCUAACUUCGUGCCAGCA
rnacentral:rRNA from 1 species